UACGUAGGGGGCGAGCGUUGUCCGGAAUUACUGGGCGUAAAGGGCGCGCAGGCGGCCGUGUAAGUCCGCUGUGAAAGACCGGGGCUCAACCCCGGGGUGUCAGCGGGGACUGCACGGCUGGAGUCCCGGAGGGGGAGGCGGAAUACCUGGUGUAGCGGUGGAAUGCGUAGAUAUCGGGAGGAACACCUGUGGCGAAAGCGGCUCACUGGACCACAACUGACGCUGAGGCGCGAAAGCUAGGGGAGCAAACAGG
rnacentral:rRNA from 1 species